rnacentral:rRNA from 1 species
GUCCCUACGGGACGCAGCAGUGAGGAAUAUUGGUCAAUGGGCGGGAGCCUGAACCAGCCAAGUCGCGUGAGGGAAGACAGUCCUAUGGAUUGUAAACCUCUUUAGGCGGGGAGCAAUGCCGGGCACGCGUGCCCGGAGGGAGAGUACCCGCAGAAUAAGCAUCGGCUAACUCCGUGCCAGCAGCCGCGGUAAUACGGAGGAUGCGAGCUUUAUCCGGAUUUAUUGGGUUUUAAGGGUGCGUCGGCGGAUUUUUAAGUCAGCGGUAAGAUGUCCGGGCUCAACCCGCGCCGGCCGU